rnacentral:rRNA from 1 species
UAAGGAAUAUUGGACAAUGGAGGCAACUCUGAUCCAGCCAUGCCGCGUGAAGGAAUAAGGCCCUAUGGGUUGUAAACUUCUUUUAGACGGGACAAAACCCCUUUACGUGUAAAGGGUUGAUGGUACUGUCAGAAUAAGCAUCGGCUAACUUCGUGCCAGCAGCCGCGGUAAUACGAAGGAUGCAAGCGUUAUCCGGAAUUAUUGGGUUUAAAGGGUGCGUAGGCGGACUAAUAAGUCAGUGGUGAAAGCCUGCAGCUUAACUGCAGAAUUGCCAUUGAUACUGUUAGUCUUGAGUACAGUUGAGGUAGGCGGAAAGUGUCAUGUAGCGGUGAAAUGCUUAGAUAUGACACAGAACACCGAUUGCGAAGGCAGCUUGCUAAGCUGUAACUGACGCUGAGGCACGAAAGCGUGGGGAGCAAACA